rnacentral:rRNA from 1 species
AUCAACUUUCGAUGGUAGGAUAGAGGCCUACCAUGGUGGUAACGGGUAACGGGGUGUUAGGGCACGACACCGGAGAGGGAGCCUGAGAAACGGCUACCACAUCCAAGGAUGGCAGCAGGCGCGCAAAUUACCCAAUCCCAAUACGGGGAGGUAGUGACAAUAAAUAACAAUAUGGGGCCUUCACGGGUCUCGUAAUUGGAAUGAGUACAAUUUAAAUCUCUUAACGAGGAACAAUUGGAGGGCAAGUCUGGUGCCAGCAGCCGCGGUAAUUCCAGCUCCAAUAGCGUAUAUUAAAGUUGUUGCAGUUAAAAAGCUCGUAGUUGAAUUUCGGAAUCUGUCCGUCGGUCGGGCUUAACUGUCCGUACUGGUGUGGUGGGUUCUUACCUUCUGAAUAACCAGCAUGCCAUUAAUUUGGUGCGUUGGGGAAGCAGGACUAUUACCUUGAAAAAAUUAGAGUGCUCAAAGCAGGCUAGUGCCUGAAUACAUUAGCAUGGAAUAAUAAAAUAGGACGGCAUGGUUCUAUUUUGUUGGUUUCUAGGAUCACCGUAAUGAUUAAUAGGGAUAGUUGGGGGCAUUAGUAUUCAAUUGUCAGAGGUGAAAUUCUUGGAUUUAUUGAAGACUAACUUCUGCGAAAGCAUUUGCCAAGGAUGUUUUCAUUAAUCAAGAACGGAGGUUAGGGGAUCGAAGACGAUCAGAUACCGUCGUAGUCUUAACCAUAAACUAUGCCGACUAGGGAUCGGACGAUGUUAAUUUUUUAAUGACUCGUUCGGCGCCUUACGGGAAACCAAAGUGUUUGGGUUC